rnacentral:misc_RNA from 1 species
UCCCCGUUAACCGGGGCAGUCCCCUCAGAGUGCCCAGCAUAACCUGGUAGCAACAAAGGGUAAGGGUUGCGCUCGUUGCGGGACUUAACCCAACAUCUCACGACACGAGCUGACGACAGCCAUGCAGCACCUGUGCAUCAGCCCCGAAGGGAAGACGGCUUUCACCGCCAGUCUGAUGCAUGUCAAACCUAGGUAAGGUUCUUCGCGUUGCGUCGAAUUAAACCACAUGCUCCACCGCUUGUGCGGGCCCCCGUCAAUUCGUUUGAGUUUCAGCCUUGCGACCGUACUCCCCAGGCGGGGCACUUACUGCGUUAGCGCCGGCACCGACGGGAUUAAUACCGCCGACACCUAGUGCCCAUCGUUUACGGCGUGGACUAC